ensembl:misc_RNA Metazoa_SRP Metazoan signal recognition particle RNA
GCCCGGGGCACAGUGGUGCGUGCCUGUAGUGCAGCUACUUGGGAGGCCGAGGCCGGAGGAUCGCUUGUGCCCAGGAAUCCUGGGCUGUAGUGGCUGUGCCAAUUGGGUGUCUGCACUAAGUUUGGCAUCAAGAUGGUGACCUCGGCCAGGCACGGUGGCUCACGCCUGUAAUCCCAGCACUUUGACAUGCCGAGGCGGGCGGAUCACUUGAGGUCAGGAGCUCCAGACCAGCCUGGCCAACAUGGUGAAAACCCGUCUCU